rnacentral:rRNA from 1 species
GCUCAACCGGGGAGGGUCAUUGGAAACUGGGAAACUUGAGUGCAGAAGAGGAGAGUGGAAUUCCACGUGUAGCGGUGAAAUGCGUAGAGAUGUGGAGGAACACCAGUGGCGAAGGCGACUCUCUGGUCUGUAACUGACGCUGAGGAGCGAAAGCGUGGGGAGCGAACAGGAUUAGAUACCCUGGUAGUCCACGCCGUAAACGAUGAGUGCUAAGUGUUAGGGGGUUUCCGCCCCUUAGUGCUGCAGCUAACGCAUUAAGCACUCCGCCUGGGGAGUACGGUCGCAAGACUGAAACUCAAAGGAAUUGACGGGGGCCCGCACAAGCGGUGGAGCAUGUGGUUUAAUUCGAAGCAACGCGAAGAACCUUACCAGGUCUUGACAUCCUCUGACAACCCUAGAGAUAGGGCUUUCCCUUCGGGGACAGAGUGACAGGUGGUGCAUGGUUGUCGUCAGCUCGUGUCGUGAGAUGUUGGGUUAAGUCCCGCAACGAGCGCAACCCUUGAUCUUAGUUGCCAGCAUUUAGUUGGGCACUCUAAGGUGACUGCCGGUGACAAACCGGAGGAAGGUGGGGAUGACGUCAAAUCAUCAUGCCCCUUAUGACCUGGGCUACACACGUGCUACAAUGGACAGAACAAAG